GAUAAUUAAUAUUUAUGAAUGAUACAAAAAGAGUGUGGAAUGCAGCUUGGUGUGUCAGAUGGGUGUGUUAAUUAUAAAUAUAUCAAAAUCAAAUAUAUUGCACCUUCUCUAAACGAGAUAAGAUAGUGUGGUGAUACUGUACAAGAUAUCUACUGAUAUUUCUGAAGAAAAGUUGGCUUACCAUGAUUGAGUUCAGAAGCAAAACAAACUGGAUAAACGACAAGCGCUAUUAAGAGGGAAGCCACUGAAAAAAGAUUUUAGCCGCAGUCGCUAUCGCAACGAGACUCGAGGGUGCGCAAAUAGACCCACACAAUGUGUACCGUCUAUGCAGCAAGGGUAGAAAAGAACUUGAAACGGAUUGCAGUAGAUUUAACGUUAUGAUUUGAAGAGAAUACUGGUCUAAAAUGGGGACUAUACUGGCUGCAUUAUAUUCCAUGAGAUGAAUCUUCAAAUGCAUGCAGAUGAGAAAUAUCUUAAGCCAUUGUGUGAUUCAAAAAGUUUUCAAGAAAUUUUAUCCAUCAGAUCAGUUUAACAAUCACACAAUCUAUUUAAAAAUUAUUUAGAUAAAUAAGAUUUGAAUGAAAGUAAAGUUGCUGCUACUUGAACAACUCUGUGCUUCUUCUCAAUAUUUAAUGCCUAGUCACACUUUAAAAAAUUGCCAUAUCUCUAAUUGUCAGAAUACUAAAUUAGUACGCUUAUCUUAUUAUUGCAUGGUACUACUACAUAAGUUCUAUUAGCUAGUGCAUUAGCAGUGAGAUUCUAAAAAGAUAAGUGUCUAGACAUUGGUAGGCAGAAUCCAGACUGUCAGAUGAUGUUCGAUAUAGAUCGUUAAAUGUUACAGUAUUUCUAGCUCCUGUAAAAUACAUGGACAUAAUAUGCCACUUGUUGCUGAAGAUCCUUUUAUUAAAGAGGCAAGAUAUUGUCAAGGACAGUGUGGAAUAAAAUUGUUUAAAAUUAAAUCAGAAUUCAAAAUUGGAAAUACUUUUCUCUUACCUUCAAUGGUCUGGUGAUGGUCACAGUCUCGAUUGUAGUUGUUUGAGCCAUUGUGUCAGGUUGCAAGGUAUUCUGCAUCAUAAGUGAAUGACGAAUUUAUACAUUUGCAAAUUCUUUCAAUAGUAAAGGCAGUCAUAAAACAGCAGCCAUUAAUGUACAUAGAAAGAAACUUAAUAAAAUAAAAGACGAAGUAUCAUGAAAAAAAAUUACAAAAUUACAAAAUCAAAAAUUCUAGAAUUGGAAAAUUAAGAAUCGAGCCAGUUGUGAAGUAUCGUUCAAACGUAAACGAAAGGCAAGAAAAAGUGACAGAUCAAAGAAGAAUUUGAAGAUUCGAACAAUAGAACACAACAAUGGUAGCUGUAAUAUCGAACUCUAAAAACUUUCAACAGAAGUUUUACAUUGAAAAAGUAACUUGGUUUGAACACAAAUGUGAAUAGGCAAUGCAGUUAACGCAUUUUACACUUACGCGGCGCGUACUUGGCCACUUGGACAAUACGGGGACAGUUAAAACUCACGUAAUCAUUAAUCACAAGCAAAUAUUAGUCACUGGCCUGAAUAAUUGUCAAUGAUAAUUAGGAUGAUUAUUUCGUAUCCAUUACUAACCGGGCGUAGGUGGGAAAAUAUUAAGAAUAACAACUUAAAUAUUCGAGGUUUCGUAUGACACUUUCGCGAAACUAUUUAGAUAUGACAUUACAAAACACAAAGAGAAAAAGAAAAAGUAAACAUCUGAGCUCUCUCAAAUGUUAAUGGCGUGCAUACUGCAUAUAGUAAUAUAGUAAGUGCGUAACCACGAACCAACAAGUACACUGAUUUUCCAGCAACGAACUUCUAGCGUAGAUCCGAUGCACUCCGCGAAUCCACAGGUAUAUUAAAUGGCCACUCUAUCUAACUAUUCAUGGUCGAGAAGAAAUCGUUUGAGGAACACUAAGGAAACACUCACUUGAGCCCACUCUUGAAUCUUCAUAGCCAACAGGAAAUGCUUCCAUUUUACUGUUGGAGAAUCAGUAGCACAGUAACCUCGUGUGUUCGUGUCGUUGAUAUCUUCGUACCGAAUUCGUACGUUGUGAAUAUGAGGAAUCGGAAAACAUCAUACUCUAGGUGCUCUCUGAAAUUUUUUGGAGCAGGCAGUAGACUUUUGAAGAGGUGGUCUAUCUGCGGAGGAUGAAUUUUAAGAUCAAAGCUUAGAACCUCUAAGAUGAGCUUUAUUUCCAAAGCUGUUGUAAGGCUGGGUAACCUAUCCAAUGCAACUAAGAAACCCUUUGUUGUAACUCAUCAAAUCCCCUCUUCAUUAUAAUCUAUUCUAUACUUGCACAGUAUAGAAAAAUUGAGGUAGAGAUAGAAGAUGUGAAUCUGCAGCAAUAGCAAGGAAGCGUCGUGAUCUGGGCUGGAGACUAGCAUGAUAAAAUUUAUAACUAGAAAUCUAUACAACUACAAAGGGAAGAGCUAAAUUCUGCAUUUAAAUCGCAAGACAUUACCUCAAAAUUACAAACUCUGUACUACUUAUUAUGAAAAUGAAAAGACGUUGGGAACGAAUACUUAUUCUUAUUCAUUCAGAUUUGCCCCCUUCAUCUAAACGCAGGUCUGCCAUUGACUGAUUUUGUGUGGUCGAUAAAUUUCCUGUGAAAUCCCUCAACAAAAUCCUCCUAUGUUAUCUCAUUUUCAUGAAACCCAGUCUGAAAUUUCGAGAACAGAUGUUUUAUGACUGAUACGAUACAUAAUCGUUCAAAUUUUUAUCGAAUUACAAUCAUUCGUGACCACCAGUAAAUGAUUCUCGAAGGAAUAAUGCUAUAUUUAUUUAAAUAAUAAAUAUACAUGAUCAAGUAUCAGUGCACUACCGGUAUUAACUACUUAAACUAAUAUACAUAUAAAUAGAAAGAUCUUUUUCUUUUUCUUUGUAUAUGCAUUCUAAAGAAAGUUGUGUACAAAAUACAAACAUGUUUAGCUAAACAAUAUUGUAUAAAAUUGGCCUUGAUGUACAAGAUCAUAUAUAUUAUAUAUGUACAUACAUCAUUCUUAAACUAAUUUGUGUCAGCAAAUAGCAAACUUAACGAUAUUUGUCGCCAAGAAGUACAAUACGAUAGAUCACUGGGUAACUGACAUAAAUUUCAAACCAUUAUCACAACAAAUGAUAGACAAUCUUGUUUUUGCUUAUUUUAAGUUUUGAAUUAUAUUUACGUAUGUUCCUUUAACAUCAGAGAAUCCUAGUCUCUUCGCUUUGUAUGCAACAAUAAUUACGCUAGCGGUAUAAUUUCGAGUCAAAAAUAAUUUGAUGCGCUAACAUUUAGAUAAAAUAUAAAAAGUGGGAAAACAUAUCACUAUGCACAUUUUAACAUUAUCAGAUCUAUUUUAACAUCCUUAAUAUUUGUGUAAUAUUACAUACAUAGAUAGAGUUAUAGGUGGUACUACAAACGUAUAAAAUGCUCCAAUUCUGGCCAUCGUAAUAUAAAUUCAACAGACUUUGCAUCUUUGUUUCAUCAGUGUUUGAAAUAAGAACAUUGUUAUCCAAUUCAGAGCGUAAAUAUUACUUUACUUAAAAGUAGGCAUUAUUAGAGAAGCUUUUCUUGCAAAAUCUGAACAAAAAAUGAAAAAAAAAAAGAAAAGAAAAACAACCAAUUA